rnacentral:rRNA from 1 species
UUUUCUGCCACCGAAUACAUUAGCAUGGGAUAAUGGAAUAGGACCCUGUCCUCCUAUCUUCAGUUGGUUAACUUGUAGAGGAUCAGGGUAAUGAUUAAUAGGGAUAGUUGGGGGCAUUAAUAUUUAAUUGUCAGAGGUGAAAUUCUUGGAUUUAUGAAAGAUUAACUUCUGCGAAAGCAUCUGCCAAGGAUGUUUUCAUUAAUCAAGAACGAAAGUUAGGGGAUCGAAGACGAUCAGAUACCGUCGUAGUCUUAACCAUAAACGAUGCCGACCAGCGAUUAGGAGACGUUGAAUACAAAACACCACCAUACAUAAUUCAGUAUAUGGCCAGUCAAAUGGUUGUAUAUUGUUUGUGUAUGGCACCGGUGAAUGACUCCCCUAGCAGCUUGUGAGAA